rnacentral:lncRNA from 1 species
UCGUGACUUUUUAGUGAUUGCCAUUCUAACUGGCACCACAGUAAAUUUUUAUAGAUUUUAUAAGCAAAUUGUAUUUACUGUGCAAGAAUUGGUUUAUUUUUUAAACCAUGUGUUGCAAACAUACAAUGGUUAAUUGUGAUAUUUGCUCAGUACAAGAUCAUCAGAUCACUACACAGACUUGAGGUAAUUCCACCUAAAAGCAAAGAGAACUGACCCCACAUUAACUGAGAAGUCUUUACUUAUUUAUUCCCUAUAAACGAGCCAAUAUGAAGAGAAGGCCUUAAUGUGGUUAACUAUGUAAUUUUUUUCUGACUUUUUGAAAUACUGAGAAGAGCUCAUGACUCUCCCAUCUCCUAAUUCUACCUUGGUGGAUUUUAGACUGACCACAACUCAUGGGUAAAUGAGGGAAGACGAAUAAGAAACCUUGCUUUUUUUUCCUCCUUGUUUUUGGCUGGCUGCAGUGGCUCACACCUGUAAUCUCAUCACUUUGGGAGGCCAAGGUGGGAAGAUCACUUGAGCUCAGGAUUUCAAAACUGGCCUGGGCAACAUAGUGAGACCCCAUCUCUAAAAAAAAAAAAAAAAAAAAAAAAAGGCGACAGGCGGUGCGUGCCUGUAAUCCUACCUACUCAAGAAGCCGAGGUGGAAAGAUCACUUGAGCAUGGGAGGUCAAAGCUGCAGUGAACCUUGAUUGCACCACUUCAUUCCAGCCUGGGUGACAAAGCAGGACGCUGCCUCAAGAAAACAAAAACAAAACCUUAAUUUUUUGGCUAUUCUUUUCUGGUAAGAAUGGUAUAGAGAUGGGGAUGAGGAUGGCUAUUGUAUGAGAGAGCAAACAGGGUCCAAGCAGUGCUCUGGGCUGUCUAAGGACCAGUAGUCAGCUUAACUUCUCAAAUUUCCAGGGAAGGAGUUUGGAGUGGUAGAAUAUCCUGGGUAUGCCCAAAGCAUCACCUUGCAAAUAGCCUGUCAUGAAUAAUUUGUUUCAUUUGUUAUGACUGGAAACUGGCUUUGUGUAUGCCAGAGAAUGGGGGCAGGAAAGAGAGAUUGGUGUCUUGAGCUCUCUGUGCCUCUGGGGCAGUGAUGCUUUUCCUCUCAUGUGGAAGGAGAGCAUGACUGAAAAGGUGCACAAAUAAGGUGUCUGUGAGAGAAAUUAACCUUCCAGAUACAGAGACACAACCUUCCCCAAGAGGUCCUCAUUGCUCUGCCUUUUUUCCUUUUUUUUGCUUGUUCUACCAUUAAUAACAGAAACUGAUUAUGACCUCAAAAGAGAGGAGAAAGCGACUCUCCCCACCCUAGAGCUAGUUAACCACCAUAUCUUCCUAGAUCUCAGUUCAAGAGUCACUUCCAUCCCCAAUAAAAGCCCUUGAGUGCUGAGCACCUCUCCGUCAUAGCAUUUGUCCUAGGGGUUUUUGUACAUUUUCUUGUGUGAAACUUGGGUUGACAUCUGUAUUUCCGACUAGAUUACAGUUUCCUCAAGGGUAGGGAUGUCUUGCUUGCCAUUUUCAGUUCCAGCAUCUAGACAGUACCUCAAGCAAACAAGGCCGAG